GGAGAGUUGUCCGAGAGGUCGAAGGUGCGACACUCGAAAUGUCGUGUUCCCAAAAGGAACCUAGGGUUCGAAUCCCUAACUCUCCGCCA
rnacentral:tRNA from 7 species